UCCUAGUUAACCUAGGCAGUCUCGUUUGAGUUCCCGCCAUUACGCGUUGGCAACUAACGAUAAGGGUUGCGCUCGUUGCUGGACUUAACCAAACACCUCACGGCACGAGCUGACGACAGCCAUGCAGCACCUAUAUAGAGACCCUUUCGGGAAUACCAAUCUCUUGGUACGUCCUCUACAUUUCGAGCCCAGGUAAGGUUCUUCGCGUUGCAUCGAAUUAAACCACAUGCUCCACUGCUUGUGCGGGCCCCCGUCAAUUCUUUUGAGUUUCACCCUUGCGAGCGUACUCCCCAGGCGGCAUACUUAACGCGUUAGCUCCGAAACAGAAAGGGUUGAGCCCUCCUACUUCUAGCAUCCAUCGUUUAGGGCUAGGACUAC
rnacentral:misc_RNA from 1 species